GGUGAAAGGCUUGCUGCCUGGGGAAGAGCUUGCGUCUGAUUAGCUAGUUGGUAGUGUAAGAGACUACCAAGGCGACGAUCAGUAGCUGGUCUGAGAGGAUGAUCAGCCACACUGGGACUGAGACACGGCCCAGACUCCUACGGGAGGCAGCAGUGGGGAAUUUUCCGCAAUGGGCGAAAGCCUGACGGAGCAAUACCGCGUGAGGGAGGAAGGCUCUUGGGUUGUAAACCUCUUUUCUCAGGGAAGAAAAAAAUGACGGUACCUGAGGAAUAAGCAUCGGCUAACUCCGUGCCAGCAGCCGCGGUAAUACGGAGGAUGCAAGCGUUAUCCGGAAUGAUUGGGCGUAAAGGGUCCGCAGGUGGCAUUGUAAGUCUGCUGUUAAAGAGUUUGGCUCAACCAAAUAAAAGCAGUGGAAACUACAAAGCUAGAGUUUGGUCGGGGCAGAGGGAAUUCCUGGUGUAGCGGUGAAAUGCGUAGAUAUCAGGAAGAACACCAGUGG
rnacentral:rRNA from 1 species